GCCUAUGUAGCCCAGUGGCAGAGCACUGGUCUUGUAAAACAGGAGUCGUGAGUUCAAUUCUCUAAGGAGGCG